rfam:Brachypodium distachyon strain Bd21 chromosome 3, whole genome shotgun sequence.
UUAUUAUUCCUUCCGUCCAACAAAAGAUGUCUCAACUUUGACUAAAUUUGAAUGCAUAUAUAUACUAAGUUAUGUCUAAAUACAUUCAAGUUUUGACAAACUUGAGACAUCUUUUGUUGGACGGAGGGAGUACAGG